GUCGCUGUAGUAUAGUGGUAAGUAUUCUCGCCUGUCACCCGGGUGGUUCGAUCCCCUGCAACGGCG